AAGUCGUAACAAGGUUUCCGUAGGUGAACCUGCGGAAGGAUCAUUACAACUUAAUGUGAUAUCAUCCACAUCCUACCGUCUUUUCGUGAACUGUAUAUUAAGAGCCGUUUGCGUCGUUGAGGUGGUACUGUCCAGGCGUCUUCUUAGGGAACCCGAUGAGUGUCGGGAGGUUCCCGAGUCUGGGCGGUGCGUACUCCUCUCCGGAGGAGGCCUCUGAUUGCAAGCGCGUGUUACCCUUCCCCACUCUUAACCCAUUUAUUAUCACCUUGCACCUUAUCUCCAUAGAACUGACCUCUCUGGAAGGCUCGCUACUACCAGCGACCUUCUUGCAAGACUAUACGUAAAAGAGAAGAACAACUCUUAACAACGGAUAUCUUGGCUCUC
rnacentral:misc_RNA from 1 species